rnacentral:rRNA from 1 species
CCUACGUGGCGCAGCAGUCGAGAAUCAUUCACAAUGGGGGAAACCCUGAUGGUGCGACGCCGCGUGGGGGAAUGAAGGUCUUCGGAUUGUAAACCCCUGUCAUGUGGGAGCAAAUUAAAAAGAUAGUACCACAAGAGGAAGAGACGGCUAACUCUGUGCCAGCAGCCGAGGUAAUACAGAGGUCUCAAGCGUUGUUCGGAAUCACUGGGCGUAAAGCGUGCGUAGGCUGUUUCGUAAGUCGUGUGUGAAAGGCGCGGGCUCAACCCGCGGACGGCACAUGAUACUGCGAGACUAGAGUAAUGGAGGGGGAACCGGAAUUCUCGGUGUAGCAGUGAAAUGCGUAGAUAUCGAGAGGAACACUCGUGGCGAAGGCGGGUUCCUGGACAUUAACUGACGCUGAGGCACGAAGGCCAGGGGAGCGAAAGGUAUUAGAUACCCCAGUAGUC